ACAGCCAUAUUGCAUUCAAACACUGGUUCUCAUACAAAUACCAAAGUUAAGCAAUGUUGAGUUUGGUCAGUACUUAGAUGGGUGACUACUUGGGAAUACCAGGUGUU